UGCGGUAACGAGCGCAACCCUCGCUGUGUGUUACAUAUCACACGGGACUGCCUUACAACAAGUGGGGAGGAAGGAGAGGACGACGUCAAGUCAGCAUGACCCUUACGUCCAGGGCUACACACAUCCUACAAUGGAGAGGACAGUAGGUCGCGAAGGAGCAAUCCUGAGCUAAUCCUCAAACCUCUUCUCAGUUCGAAUUGUGGGCUGCAACUCGCCCACAUGAAGUCGGAAUCGGUAGUAAUCGCACGUCAGCAGAGUGCGGUGAAUACGUUCUCGCUCCUUGUACACACUGCCCGUCAAGCCAGCGAAGUCGGCAGUGCCCGAAGUUCUCAUAAUAUGAUGAGGCCUAAGGCAAGGUCGGCGACGAGGACUAAGUCGUAACAAGGUUACCAAGCCGAA
rnacentral:rRNA from 1 species